rnacentral:rRNA from 1 species
AUGAACGCUGGCGGCGUGCUUAACACAUGCAAGUCGAACGAAGCAAUUUAUCUAGAUCCCUUCGGGGGUGACGGAUUUAUUGACUGAGUGGCGGACGGGUGAGUAACGCGUGGGUAACCUGCCUUAUACAGGGGGAUAACAGUUAGAAAUGACUGCUAAUACCGCAUAAGCGCACAGUACCGCAUGGUACAGUGUGAAAAGCCGAGACGGUAUGAGAUGAGCUCGCGUCUGAUUAGAUAGUUGGUGAGGUAACGGCUCACCAAGUCGACGAUCAGUAGCCGGACUGAGAGGUUGAACGGCCACAUUGGGACUGAGACACGGCCCAGACUCCUACGGGAGGCAGCAGUGGGGAAUAUUGCACAAUGGGCGCAAGCCUGAUGCAGCAACGCCGCGUGAGGGAUGACGGUCUUCGGAUUGUAAACCUCUGUCCUUGGUGACGAAACAAAUGACGGUAGCCAUGGAGGAAGCCACGGCUAACUACGUG